rnacentral:rRNA from 1 species
AUACGGAGGGUGCAAGCGUUACUCGGAAUCACUGGGCGUAAAGCGCGCGCAGGCGGCUUGAUAAGUUGGAUGUGAAAGCCUACGGCUCAACCGUAGAACUGCAUCCAAAACUGUCAGGCUAGAGUGUGGGAGAGGAAGAUGGAAUUAGUUGUGUAGGGGUAAAAUCCGUAGAGAUAACUAGGAAUACCAAAAGCGAAGGCAAUCUUCUGGAACACUACUGACGCUGAGGCGCGAAAGCGUGGGGAGCAAACAGGAUUAGAAACCCGAGUAGUCC